UACGGGAGGCAGCAGUGGGGAAUAUUGCACAAUGGGCGAAAGCCUGAUGCAGCUAUGCCGCGUGUAUGAAGAAGGCCUUAGGGUUGUAAAGUACUUUCAUCGGGGAGGAAAAACAAAACUAAUAAUUUUAUUUCUUGACGUUACCCGAAAAAGAAGCACCGGCUAACUCCGUGCCAGCAGCCGCGGUAAUACGGAGGGUGCUAGCGUUAAUCAGAAUUACUGGGCGUAAAGAGCACGUAGGUGGUUUUUUUAAGUCAGAUGUGAAAUCCCUGGGCUUAACCUAGGAACUGCAUUUUGAAACUGAAAUACUAGAGUAUCGUAGAGGGAGGUAGAAUUCUAGGUGUAGCGGUGAAAUGCGUAGAUAUCUGGAGGAAUACCUGUGGCGAAAGCGGCCUCCUAAACGAAUACUGACACUGAGGUGCGAAAGCGUGGGGAGCGAAAC
rnacentral:rRNA from 1 species